rnacentral:rRNA from 1 species
UACGUAGGAGGCAAGCGUUGUCCGGAAUCACUGGGCGUAAAGCGCGUGUAGGCGGAUCGCUAAGUCUGUGGUGAAAGCGCCUGGCUUAACCGGGCGAGGUCCAUGGAAACUAGCGGUCUGGAGGCCGGUAGAGGGGGGUGGAAUUCCGGGUGUAGUGGUGAAAUGCGUAGAGAUGUGGAGGAACACCGAUGGCGAAGGCAGCCUUCUGGGCCAAUACUGACGCUCAUGCACGAAAAGCGUGGGGAGCAAACAGG